AGCAGCCGCGGUAAUUCCAGCUCCAAUAGCGUAUAUUAAAGUUGUUGCAGUUAAAAAGCUCGUAGUUGAACUUCGGGGUUUACCCAUUGGUCAGGCUUAAUUGUCUGUACUGGUGAGAUAAAUCUCUACCUUCUGAGGAACUUUCAUGCCAUUAAUUUGGUGUGAUGGGAAAUCAGGACUGUUGCUUUGAAAAAUUAGAGUGUUUAAAGCAGGCUAACGUCUGAAUACAUUAGCAUGGAAUAAUGAAAUAGGACGGACUGAUUCUAUUUCGUUGGUUUCUAGGAUCACCGUAAUGAUUAAUAGGGAUAGUUGGGGGCAUUAGUAUUCAAUUGUCAGAGGUGAAAUUCUUGGAUUUAUUGAAGACUAACUACUGCGAAGCAUUUGCCAAGGAUGUUUUCAUUAAUCAAGAACGAAAGUUAGGGGAUCGAAGACGAAUCAGAUACCGUCGUAGUCUUAACCAUAAACUAUGCCGACUAGGGAUCGGACG
rnacentral:rRNA from 1 species